CGGAAGUGCCGCGCGGCUGCUCCCGCGCACGGAUUGAAGUUCGGCAGCUUCAGCGCCAGACAAGUGUGAUUUCCUGCCGUGACGAGGCGUCGUCACAGAUCUUUGUGAUCCGAGUGGCCGAGCGCGAUCACCUCCAGCUAUGCCAUGAUCCUGAGAGGAGUGGAAGCUCAGUGACUCAAGGUAUAUCUUUCCAGAUAUGUUUAUAAAUUCCUUGCUCCAGCCUUAUACACACAAAAUGCCUGAUCAGUUCCAAAUUUAGCAAGACAUUAAAAUCUUAUUUAAAAAUACAUUCCCAGACUAUCACGGUAAGUAUCACACCACAUUGUACUGUUUAUUAAUGACAACCACAACAAUAAUGGCUCCUUUAAUUUUCAGUUACCAUAUUUUCAAUUCUAGACCUAUAAAUAAAGUCAGAAA
rnacentral:lncRNA from 1 species